ensembl:snRNA U2 U2 spliceosomal RNA
AAAACUUUUCGAAAGAAAAAAUCUGUUCUUAUCAGUUUAAUAUCUGAUACGUCACCUAACCGGGGACUACAUAUUAAAUUGAUUUUUGGAUCAUGGAGCUGGAGUCGGGGCUUGCACUGUCCACUCCACGCAUCGGCCUGGUAUUGCAGUGUCUCCAGGAACGGUGUGCUUCCC